rnacentral:rRNA from 1 species
UAGGGAAUCUUCGGCAAUGGGGGGAACCCUGACCGAGCAACGCCGCGUGAGUGAAGAAGGUUUUCGGAUCGUAAAGCUCUGUUGUUAAGGAAGAACGAGUGUGAGAAUGGAAAGUUCAUACUGUGACGGUACUUAACCAGAAAGGGACGGCUAACUACGUGCCAGCAGCCGCGGUAAUACGUAGGUCCCGAGCGUUGUCCGGAUUUAUUGGGCGUAAAGCGAGCGCAGGCGGUUAGAUAAGUCUGAAGUUAAAGGCAGUGGCUCAACCAUUGUAGGCUUUGGAAACUGUUUAACUUGAGUGCAGAAGGGGAGAGUGGAAUUCCAUGUGUAGCGGUGAGAUGCGUAGAUAUAUGGAGGAACACCGGUGGCGAAAGCGGCUCUCUGGUCUGUAACUGACGCUGAGGCUAGAAAGCGUGGGGAGCGAACAGG